rnacentral:rRNA from 1 species
AACCAGCACCUCAAGUGGUCAGGAUGAUUAUUGGGGCCUAAAGCAUCCGUAGCCGGCUUUGUAAGUUUUCGGUUAAAUCCAUGCGCUCAACGUAUGGGCUGCCGGGAAUACUGCAAAGCUAGGGAGUGGGAGAGGUAGACGGUACUCGGUAGGAAGGGGUAAAAUCCUUUGAUCUAUUGAUGACCACCUGUGGCGAAGGCGGUCUACCAGAACACGUCCGACGGUGAGGGAUGAAAGCUGGGGGAGCAAACCGGAUUAGAUACCCGGGUAGUCCCAGCUGUAAACUAUGCAAACUCAGUGAUGCAUUGGCUUGAUGCCAAUGCAGUGCUGCAGGGAAGCCGUUAAGUUUGCCGCCUGGGAAGUACGUACGCAAGUAUGAAACUUAAAGGAAUUGGCGGGGGAGCACCACAAGGGGUGAAGCCUGCGGUUCAAUUGGAGUCAACGCCAGAAAUCUUACCCGGAGAGACAGCAGAAUGAAGGUCAAGCUGAAGACUUUACCAGACAAGCUGAGAGGUGGUGCAUGGCCGUCGCCAGCUCGUGCCGUGAGAUGUCCUGUUAAGUCAGGUAACGAGCGAGAUCCCUGCCUCUAGUUGCCACCACUACUCUCAGGAGUAGUGGGGCGAAUUAGCGGGACCGCCGUAGUUAAUACGGAGGAAGGAAGGGGCCACGGCAGGUCAGUAUGCCCCGAAACUCUGGGGCCACACGCGGGCUGCAAUGGUAACGACAAUGUGUUCCGAAUCCGAAAGGAGGAGGUAAUCCUCAAACGUUACCACAGUUAUGACUGAGGGCUGCAACUCGCCCUCACGAAUAUGGAAUCCCUAGUAACUGCGUGUCACUAUCGCGCGGUGAAUACGUCCCUGCUCCU